rnacentral:rRNA from 1 species
GAUGAACGCUGGCGGCGUGCCUAAUACAUGCAAGUCGAGCGAACAGAUGAGGAGCUUGCUCCUCUGACGUUAGCGGCGGACGGGUGAGUAACACGUGGAUAACCUACCUAUAAGACUGGGAUAACUUCGGGAAACCGGAGCUUAUACCGGAUAAUAUACUGAACCGCAUGGUUCAAUAGUGAAAGACGGCUUUGCUGUCUCUUAUAGAUGGAUAUGCGCCGCAUUAGCUAGUUGGUAAGGUAACGGCUUACCAAGGCAACGAUGCGUAGCCGACGGAAGAGGGUGAUAGGCGACCCUGGAACGGGAACGCGGUCCAGGGGCCUGCGGGAGGCAGCAGUAGGGAAUCGUACGCAAUAGGCGGAAGCCUUGCGGAGCAAGGCGGCGUGAGUGAUGAAGGUCUUCGGAUCGUAAAACUCUGUUAUUAGGGGAGAACAAAUGUGUAAGUAACUAUACACGUCUUGACGGUACCUGAUCAGAAAGCCACGGCUAACUACGUG